AUUUUUUAUGAAUGUACCCAUGUUUACACACACACACAAUAGUAUAUUUAUAUUUUAAUAUUUUUAAUCCCACAAAUUAUGUUUUUUAUUUAAAAUCUCAUUACUAUAAAUGACACACCCCGUCCCGAAGGAGGGCAUGCUGGCCGUCACGUGAGAGUGACGUAACCAUUUGCACAGUACGGAAGCUUUAAUUAUACAAUUUAUAAGUUGAUACACCCGAAGGUGAGUCCUAAUUUUGUCCAAUCUGUCAGAACACCGUCGAAUUCCUCGUAGUCACCACACAUUUGUGAUUCCUGAACCUGGAGGGGCGCAAAACCAAAAUUGAGUGGGUCAGUAAAACAAUUCUUUUCCAAAUCCAAACAUUUCUCAAAACGUUGUAACCCCUCUCCGUAAAACCUGUAUACUUUCCCAGAAAUGUAAAAUAUAAAUAUACAUAUAUAUUCUCAAAACUUCAUUUUUACUAUCUCAACAUUAUCUCUUUAUCAAUCAUGCCAUGCCAUGUCAUCUCAACAUUUCUCAUAUUAAUUAUGCCGUGCCACAUCAUCUCAACAGUAAUAAGGUAUGCAUGCAUCAACAUAAUCAUAUCAGGUGCAAGAAAGUAAUCAACCGUAGGCCCUCUAAUAGCCCUAUACGGUUGAACCUAGAGCUCAAAAUCUAUCAUUAUCACUCUACCGGAGUCACCUCUGUGACCCGUCCGGCCUUCUGCACACAAGUUACGCUCUAGUGCUUCUCAUAAAUCAUCUGUGCACAUAAUCUAAGGUCACCCACCAGUCGGAAUCUCACUAACACUCUCGCGACUGGUCUGUCGUACCCACUCCGCGUGGACUGUACGACUAGCAUCUACUUGGAUCCAAGGCGAGCGUGCGAUGCGGUGAAUACUAUAAGCACUAAACCAUGGUGCAGGAUUUGAGCUCAAUAUAUAUCAUCAUCAUCAUAACAGUAAUUAAAUACUCAUCUGUGCGUCCACCGCACCAUUUCAUACAUAUGCAUCAUAAAUCAAUUCUUACCUGUGCGUCCACCGCACCAAUUCAUACAUAUGCAUCAUAUAUUAAUUCAUGCAUGGCAUUUCAACUCACAUUUCUAUAUACUUUUCAUAUCAAUUCUAUGCAUGGUAUUUCACUUCCCGUUUUUCCACAUAACUCAUAUGCAUUUCAUUUUAAACAUAUUUUCAUUUCAAUUCAAUUUCUGGGAAACGUCAAGUAUAUAUAUAUAUACGGAAAACAAAACUGCCCACUCACCUGGAGUUCGUCCAACAACUCCCUAGCACCACACAUCAAGGCGUCAUGACGAUCGCCGCCUAGAAUAGUAAUCAAAUCCAGGCUCAGAAUUCAUAUCGAUAGAAUACAUAACUUAUAUAAAAUACGUCACUACGUAGUUCGAUCCGGAAGAUCUGCCACUCAGAUUUUAAAUCCAUAACUUCCAGAGGUCCACAAUAUAUCUCUAGGAUAACAUCCUAAAAUUUCAUUACCAUCCAACGGUCGGAUCUCCGUCAAUUUCCAAAACUAAGUGACGGUUAACAUUUUAUAUUAUGGACUUACAAUUCCAAUUCCGGAAGAUCCGUAACUCGGAUUCCCAAUCCGUAAGUUCCAAUAAUCCUCAAAUAUUACGUAUUACAACGUAUCAAAGUUUGGUGACGAUCCAACGGUCGGAUCAUCAAUUCACAUUUUCACCUAAUGCGAAAACUAUAAAACGUUAUUCGAACACCUAACCAACAAUCCUUAAUAACUUUCUCAUACGGUGCUCAAUUUAGGUAUAUGAAUAUACCACAGUGAUCUACUCGACGUCACGGACGUCGACAUAUUUUUAAAAUAUUUUUAUUUUUAUUUUUUUAUUUUUACUGUAGCACCUUCUUCUUCCUUGGGUCGCCGGACUGGUUUUUCCGGUGGCCGGAAAACUGGGGAAUUUUCAAAUGCUUCGUUCUCCUUCGUUUCUCAACCAUUUUCUUCGUAUAAUAUAUCAAUUUAAAGCCCUCAACAUGUAGAAUCACAAUAUACUACUUUUAAGCUUCAAAAACAACUAAAUCUCACCGGAAAAAUCCAAGCAAAACCGGCCAAACUUAACCCUCGUGAUCCCGACGUCCAAAUCCUUCCAACGAAGCACUCCGAGCUUCCUUGGGACCUCACUAAGCUCACUAUGAGCUUGGAUUGUCCUAAAAAUCAACCAAUUCAAAGCUCAUGAACAGUACACAUUCACGGCAAUUUUAGAAACUAGGGUUUUCGAAGUGAAACUUACCUUAAACUGGUACCUACGUGAUCGUGGAGUCCUCAGGAGUGCAAUGGUAGUUUUAAAUCCGGCGUUGGUAAUAGUUUUAGGUGGUUUUGAUGGUUGCCCGUGUGUUCGAGAGGGUGAGAGAGAGAGAGUGAGGUCUGAGGAAGAGAAAGAGAGUAUGAAGGACAGUAUACGGGAAAUGGGGAGGGAAAUAAGGAAUGGGGAUCCCACGUGGUCCUUUUCCAAUCCCCAACUCUAAACCACAAAAUUUUAACCUAAAAAUCUAAGUUCCAUCCUUAUUAAAUUCCAUUUUAUUUUCAAAACUU
rnacentral:lncRNA from 1 species